GCGGGUGUAGUUCAAUGGUAGAACGGCAGCUUCCUAAGCUGUACAUGAGGUUCGAUUCCCUUCACCUGCC
rnacentral:tRNA from 1 species